UAGUGCUCUGGACAUUUUUAAUGUCUGUAGUAAGCACGAUAUCGUGUUAUUCCCAGUAUGGCUUCCUAAGCUUGAAAAUCAGAUAGCUGAUAAAAUAAGCAAGACAAUUGACUAUGACGACUAGCAUUGAUGACCAUCCUUUCGCUUUCAUCGAAGGCCUGUGGGGCCCUCAUACAUUAGAUCGCUUUGUAUCCCCUUUUAACCGAAAACUCUCUAAUUUUAAUACCAGGUUUGGUCUCGGGGUUCUUCGGCUGUUGAUGCCUUUUGUCAAGAUUGGUCAGAGGUAUGGGAUUCCCGUGCGUUGGCUUUAAUCGACCCAUAUUUGCAAGAAUUAGCAGAGGCUCAACUCCCGGUUCUUCUAACGUCGGCUAAAGCCCCAUCCGCUGCAUCAAAGUAUUCACUCGCCAGGAGUAGAUAGGAGAAAUGGGCGACAACCAGGUCCUAUACAACACAUUUGAUGGGCGACGCACGACGGGCG